rnacentral:lncRNA from 1 species
UCCCCGUCGACGCCCAGGGCUGGGGCGAGCCAGGCUGCCUUUCGAACUUGGGGGGCUUCUCCUCUUGUCUCCCACUGGUGCUCUGGCUGUGAAUCCAUCCAGGGGCCAGGAUGACAAUCCGACACCAAGGCCAGCAGUACAGGCCGAGGAUGGCAUUUCUCCAAAAGAUUGAAGCGCUCGUGAAGGACAUGCAGAACCCAGAGACAGGGGUCCGAAUGCAGAACCAGAGGGUCCUGGUCACCAGCGUUCCUCAUGCCAUGACAGGAAGUGAUGUUCUGCAAUGGAUCGUCCAGCGGCUUUGGAUCUCCAGUCUGGGUGAGAGCUCAUCUGGCACUCAGUUAUCCGGGACAGCUUUGUGUACAGCACCAUGGGAGAAACUAAAUAGAGACUUAGCCUGUGUUUCUGAGAAAUUUACAUUUUAAUUGGACAGACAUGACCUUCGUGUGUAAAAGUACCAGAAUCAAAAGCAAAGGCAGGAUAAUUUGGGGACGAAAGAGUUAUUUUGUACAAAAUAUUUAGAGCAUAAAUAACAGGGAUAAGUGGGGAGGACUCAGUCAAGAAAGUCCUGGAGGGGGUGCUGUGUAUAGCUGGUCUUGAAAGAAGUGAUGCUUGUGAAUUGGUGAAGAGGAGCUCUGAGGGUCUUCCUAUAAGGGGACACUAGCAAGAGCAAUGGUUUAGAAAUGGAAUGAGUGGAAAGUGGAGGAGUGACAAGGGAGAUUGAGAGUCAUGGCUCCAGAUGGCUAUGGAGGGUGGCAGAGGGG